CCUACGGGAGGCAGCAGUGAGGAAUAUUGGUCAAUGGACGCUAGCCUGAACCAGCCAAGUAGCGUGCAGGAUGACUGCCCUCUGGGUUGUAAACUGCUUUUAUAUGGGAAUAAAGUGCAGUAUGUGUACUGCUUUGCAUGUACCUUAUGAAUAAGAAUCGGCUAACUCCGUGCCAGCAGACGCGGUAUUACGGGGGAGCCGCGCGUUAUCCGGGUUUAUUGGGUUUAAAGGGAGCGUAGGCGGGGUGUUAAGUCAGUUGUGAAAGUUUGCGGUUCAACCGUAAAAUUGCAGUUGAUAAUGGCAGCCUUGAGUACAGUAGAGGUAGGCGGAAUUCGUGGUGUAGCGGUGAAAUGCUUAGAUAUCACGAAGAACUACGAUUGCGAAGGCAGCCGGCUGGACUGUAACUGACGCUGAUGCUCGAAAGUGUGGGUAUCAAACAGGAUUAGAUACCCUAGUAGUC
rnacentral:rRNA from 1 species